GAUGAACGCUAGCGAUAGGCUUAACACAUGCAAGUCGAGGGGCAGCAUGGUCUUAGCUUGCUAAGACUGAUGGCGACCGGCGCACGGGUGCGUAACGCGUAUGCUACUUUCCUCACAGAGGGGGAUAACCCGUCGAAAGACGGCCUAAUACCGCGUACACUCCAUCUUGGGCAUCCAAGGUAGAGGAAAUGUAAUUCGCUUUUAGAUUGGCAUGCGUCCUAUUAGCUAGUUGGUGAGGUAACGGCUCACCAAGGCGACGAUGGGUAGGGGAACUGAGGGGGUGAACCCCAACAAUGGUACUGAGAAACGGAGAAGAAGCCAACGGGAGGAAGCAGAGAGGAAGAAGGGGAAAUGAGCGAGAGCAAGAAACAGCCAAGUCGAGUGAAGGAUGACUGUGUUAUGAAUAGUAAACUUCUGUUAUAAAGGAAUAACAAGAGGAACGUGUGACGGCCUGAAGGUACCGGAUGAAUAAGCAUCGGCUAACUCCGUG
rnacentral:rRNA from 1 species